UGCUGCCUUGGCGAGCCUGCUAGUCCGAGCCCUGGGGAUUCCUCCCGUCCUGCUCUCGGUUCAGUCAGCCGUUAUGUCGUUUCCGUGACCUCCUCCAACAGGGUUUUAGUGAUGUUUCUUGGGCCAUGUUUUGGAUUCUAAAAUCAGAAUGUUAAAUUCAGUUGUCUGAUAAGGCAAGGGAAACAAAAAUGAAAGUAAACAAAUGUGAUUGCAUCAAACAAAAAAGCUUCUACACAGCAAAAGAGAUCAUCAAUAAUGCGAAAAGACAACCUGCUGAUUGGGAGAAGAUUUGCAAAUUAUAUAACCUUUAAGUUUUUAAUGUCCAAAAUAUAUUAAAACCUUAAUACUUCUCAACAAAAAACCCACGUGACCCACUGAAACAAUAAGCAGAGGUACUGAAUGAACAUUUUCCAAACAGGACACACAGAUGACACCAGCAUGUGAAAAGAUGGCCAGCCGCACUCAUAUUUACGGAAACGCAAAUCUGUGGGUGUAGCUAUGAAGUGUGUUAUCAGCAUACAAAUUAAUGAUGCAAUUGACAUUUAAUAGCCCGAAGCUUUAUACCAAGCAUAUAAUAAAAUAAAACUUUCUCUUGUCCUUUAUUUUAUACUUGGUGGAAGGUGAACUACAAUUUGUAUCCAUAAAAUAAGAAUAAAGUUAAACACCUUGCCUUUAAGUAAUA